GUGGUGACUCAGUGGUAGAGCGCUUGCCUAGCAUGUGUGAGGCACUGGGUUCGAUUCUCAGCACCACA
rnacentral:tRNA from 1 species